AGCAGUGUGGUGAGCACAAAGCAAACUAUUCUUUCGCCUUUUACUAAAGAAUACCGUGUGCUCUCCACAUUUAACGGCAUACACCUAUUUUUGGAGGAGUACGUAACUUCUUCU